rnacentral:piRNA from 4 species
UCAUAAUCUGAAGGUCGUGAGUUCG